rnacentral:lncRNA from 1 species
GGUGGUUUGUGCGGGGCCCCGAGGAAGGUGCUGCACGCUGGGGGAGAGGAAAACAAAGAUAAGUCACCCCCAACUCGCCUGCAGCCCUCGGUUUCUCUCCAAGCCGUCCCGCCUUGGAGUAGGCAUGGGGAUGAUCCUGGCUAGCAAGCAGCCUGCGGUUGGUGAGGGCAGCACACGCUCCUCUGGCUCGAGUCCGUGUUUUGCACCUUGUUGACUUUGAGACCUAUAAUGGUCAGCAAGACCCAGAAAGCAGACCUGGGCCCACAACUCCC